rnacentral:misc_RNA from 1 species
AAGUCGUAACAAGGUUUCCGUAGGUGAACCUGCGGAAGGAUCAUUGGAGAAAUAAUAUGCAGAGUCCUUGAGGGGUAAAAGCCUUGAGGGGUCUUGCUAUUUCGAUAUUUAUUUACACUAUGUGAACAGGUUUCUUUUGGCGUGUGAAUGUGACCGAGUAGGCAUUUGCCUAGGCGAGUUAAGCUGCUGAUUUAGGGGGUAAAAGCCCUAAGGAAGCGGUGGCCUAUCAGCCCAAGUCAGUAGACUUACUUGAUAGGGUCCAGCAUGCCUUUAGCAUUAGCUAAAUGGUUUUUUAAGGGGGCAGCUUAGGCUGUACCUCAAGUUAAGGGGGGUAGUUAACGCUAUACCUCAAGUUUAAGGGAUAACUCCCGCUUCUAUGCAGAUCAAAUAGCGAAAAACAAGUAGUACAACCUUUAACAAUGGAUCUCUUGGCUCCU